GUGUUUGAUGAAAGGAGAGGGUUAGCACUUUCCUUGACGAGGAUGGAAGAGGCCCCAGGCCUGACAACAAUACAUAUGGUUAACACACAUACGCACUGCCACCUACUCUGUGGCAUCUAACCAUGGCUUUUA